rnacentral:tRNA from 1 species
ACUUAUUUAGUAUAAUUAAUAUAUUUAACUUCCAAUUAAAAGCUCUAAGUCAAUUAGAUUAAGUA